rnacentral:rRNA from 1 species
GACGAACGCUGGCGGCGUGCUUAGCACAUGCAAGUCGAACGAAGAGCGACGGAAGCUUGCUUCUAUCAAUCUUAGUGGCGAACGGGUGAGUAACGCGUAAUCAACCUGCCCUUCAGAGGGGGACAACAGUUGGAAACGACUGCUAAUACCGCAUACGAUCUAAUCUCGGCAUCGAGGAUGGAUGAAAGGUGGCCUCUACAUGUAAGCUAUCACUGAAGGAGGGGAUUGCGUCUGAUUAGCUAGUUGGAGGGGUAACGGCCCACCAAGGCGAUGAUCAGUAGCCGGUCUGAGAGGAUGAACGGCCACAUUGGGACUGAGACACGGCCCAGACUCCUACGGGAGGCAGCAGUGGGGAAUCUUCCGCAAUGGACGAAAGUCUGACGGAGCAACGCCGCGUGAGUGAUGACGGCCUUCGGGUUGUAAAGCUCUGUUAAUCGGGACGAAAGGCCUUCUUGCGAAUAGUGAGAAGGAUUGACGGUACCGGAAUAGAAAGCCACGGCUAACUACGUG